rfam:Aedes albopictus isolate Foshan contig13631, whole genome shotgun sequence.
UGCUCAGCAACUCCUAUCCCUACCUCCACGCGGUAUCGGCCGGAAACUAUGAGCAACCUUAGGGAAGAUCGGGUAACCAACCCCGGUGGAAACUUUGGUCGUAGGCUGAUAGGGAAGG